rnacentral:rRNA from 1 species
GACAGAGGUGCCGAGCGUUAGGCGGAAUCACUGGGCUUAAAGCGUGUGUAGGCGGGCGGGCAAGUACCUUGUGAAAUCCCACGGCUCAACCGUGGAACGGCUGGGUAUACUGCCUGUCUUGAGCCAACUAGGGGCGAGCGGAACAGACGGUGGAGCGGUGAAAUGCGUAGAUAUCAGGAGGAACACCGGUGGUGUAGACGGCUAUCUGGACCGUAACUGACGCUGAGGCACGAAAGCGUGGGUAGCAAACAGG